GCUACAAGUGAACUAAACCUGGGAAGCAUAAUGAAUAUAUACGACUUAGACAGGCUUCGGAAGUAUUAGAAACUUGCAAUCAAAUUGUAUAAUUGCAACUUUGGUCAAUGAAAUUUGCCUAAUUAAAUUGCAGUCACUGAUAUAUAAUUUUUCUCAAUUUAGUCAUUGAAUUUCUAGAUGUAUAUCAAUCUGUAAACAUUAUGAAACUGAACUAGGUUUAACCAUUAAGAAAUGCCACAGGUUUGAUGAAGGCUUUUUUUAAUAUAUUUAUAUAUAUAUUGCCUUUCCCACCAUGCAACCAGUAUGAGCCAUGCAAUCAUUAUAUGGAACAUGACAAGGGAAAU
rnacentral:misc_RNA from 1 species